AUUGAACGCUGGCGGCAGGCUUAACACAUGCAAGUCGAGCGGAGUGAUGGUGCUUGCACUAUCACUUAGCGGCGGACGGGUGAGUAAUGCUUAGGAAUCUGCCUAUUAGUGGGGGACAACAUCUCGAAAGGGAUGCUAAUACCGCAUACGUCCUACGGGAGAAAGCAGGGGAUCACUUGUGACCUUGCGCUAAUAGAUGAGCCUACGUCGGAUUAGCUAGUUGGUGGGGUAAAGGCCUACCAAGGCGACGAUCUGUAGCGGGUCUGAGAGGAUGAUCCGCCACACUGGGACUGAGACACGGCCCAGACUCCUACGGGAGGCAGCAGUGGGGAAUAUUGGACAAUGGGGGGAACCCUGAUCCAGCCAUGCCGCGUGUGUGAAGAAGGCCUUAUGGUUGUAAAGCACUUUAAGCGAGGAGGAGGCUACUGAGACUAAUACUCUUGGAUAGUGGACGUUACUCGCAGAAUAAGCACCGGCUAACUCUGUGCCAGCCGCCGCAGUAAAAC
rnacentral:rRNA from 1 species